AAGACCUUACUUCAUAGGAUCAUUUCUAUAGUAAGCUCUCUCAGGCUAUCACAAUACGUGAGUUGACCCCAUCCACGAAGAUGAGUUGUGGC